UACAGAGGGUGCGAGCGUUAAUCGGAAUUACUGGGCGUAAAGCGUGCGUAGACGGUUAUUUAAGUCAGAUGUGAAAGCCCCGGGCUCAACCUGGGAAUGGCAUUUGGGACUGCAAGGCUUGAGUGCGGCAGAGGAGACUGGAAUUCCUGGUGUAGCAGUGAAAUGCGUAGAUAUCAGGAGGAAUACCGAUGGCGAAGGCAGGUCUCUGGGCUGACACUGACGCUCAUGCACGAAAGCGUGGGGAGCAAACAGG
rnacentral:rRNA from 1 species